AUUUUCUGUUAUCUGCCCAGGAGGAGACAUCAUCUGCGAACAAUUGAGGGAUGGCAACUGAUUUCAGUUUUGGCACCACACAACCAAUAAACAAACGAAGACGAAGCGGUCUUCUGGUCAGGCUCUGGAGACGGGCACAUCGCGCAUCACUCCCUAGCAUACUACUCGCCAAUGUCCAGUCUCUUGACAACAAGGUUGAUGAAAUCCGAGCAAGGGUAGCAUUCCAGAGAGACGUUACGAGACUGUAACGUUCUUUGCUUCACGGAAACAUGGCUCACUCGAGACAAGCUAUCGGAGUCGGUACAGCCAGCUGGUUUCUUCACGCAUCGCGCCGACAGAAACAAGCAUCUUUCUGGAGAAGAAUGCGGCUGAGCCCCACCUUCCUGCUGCAGCGCUGGCUGUGGUUGUGUGUGAGCGCCAGACAGUGGCACUGCAGAAAUGGCAACAACUGCAGACUACCGCUGUGUGCGAGGCAGAUAUGGGCCUACCUCAGACUGAUGGUCGACUCCCUCUAUUACAACACCCUCACAAACUCUGACGUCGUCAUGGACUCACUGAUGGAACCCAUCUUAUGGAUGGUGGACCUACUCACCCGCAGGUUUGGGGCGGUGUUUGUAUGUCUGUUAGUGAUACUGACCACUUCUAUCCUGCUGGUAGUCUAUGUGGUUAUGCUGCCCGUGAUCUUCGACAAGUACUCUCCAUCCUGGAUAGCCUGGCACAUGAGUUACGGACACUGGAACCUUGUCAUGAUCGUCUUCCACUAUUAUAAAGCUACCAAUACUGCCCCAGGAUGCCCCCCUACGAUGAAAAAUUCCAUUCCAUUUGUGUCCAUGUGUAAGAAGUGUAUCAUCCCCAAACCAGCCAGAACUCACCACUGUGCCAUCUGCAACACGUGCAUUUUGAAAAUGGACCAUCAUUGUCCGUGGCUGAAUAACUGUGUCGGCCAUUUUAACCAGCGCUACUUCUUCUGCUUCUGUGUCUCCAUGACUCUGGGCUGUGUCUACUGCAGCAUCAGUGGCCGGAACCUUUUCCUGGAUGCUUAUAAGCACCUACCAGACUCCUCCCUUAACGUUCAGAGACGAGAUGUUCCACAAGAGUGUCAUUUACAUGUGGGUGUUAACCAGCGUGGUGGCUGUAUCUCUUGGGGCGCUGACUAUCUGGCACGCAGUGCUGAUAUCCCGAGGAGAGACCAGCAUAGAGAGGCACCUCAACAACAAGGAGACCAAACGGAUGCGGAAAUGUGGCAAGGUGUACAAGAACUCAUUUAACUAUGGCAGACUGAACAACUGGAAAGUCUUCUUAGGUGUGGAGAAGAAAAGUCAUUGGCUGACGCGAGUCAUCCUGCCCUCUGGACAUGUCCCCAUUGGGAACGGCCUGACCUGGGACAUCUGUCCAAUCAGAAAAGACAUGAUGUCUGUCUGAUCACUGAUAAUAAACUCUGUCCACACAGAACUACAUCUCCCAGCGGCUCCUGCUCCCUACAUAUACUGAUGUCACAUGACCAGGUUUUGGAGACGAGCAGGAGAGUGAAUACUGGGAGGACAACGGGGAAGAGAUGGGGAAAGUUUGCUGCUCCGAAGUGAAACAACCCUACAACAUGUUUCAACCCUGGUCCUGGCACAGGGCUUGUGUAAUAAAGGCCAACCACACUCCAGAACUUGUAAUGAUGUGGGGAUGAACUGUUUCAUAAUGUUUUCAGACUGUACUACAGUAUGAGUCGUCAUAUUACCCAUAAGACCUAGAGGUCAAACAGGGAAAUUAUUCCAGUUAUUUUUUUUCCACAAUUCACUUUUCCCAUAGGUUUAAAAACAACAACAACAAAAAACAACACUUAAAUUAAGGGCUGGGUUUAGUUUUGAUAACCGUGUAAAUCUUUCUAGGAGAAGGUGACUUAUCAAUAUAUUUGCCUGUAUUUACCCCCCCCCCCAUAAAAAAAAAAAAAACGAAGCUCUCUACUGUGACUAUCAUAAAGAACUACAAAUGCCAUGAUUAUCAGGAUGAGACUUCCGAAUCAAGAGAAAGGUAAGAAUCUCGGGAUCAACUAUCUAAUGUCAGCUACAUGUAACGAAUACAUUGGCACCAUUUCUUUAGAUGGACAAUUCUGUCAACUGUGCAAGUUUUCAAUUGACAGAAUACCUGUUAGCAAAGGUGUUAGCUAGAGAUGACAUGCAGGGAUUUGUAGUCUUUCAUGAUGUCUACUUUGAUGCUAAUGACUUUUUUGAUUUAAGUCACCUUGUCAGAGAUUAACAUGGUUAUCAAAACGUCACACCAGGCUAACUCCACAAAACACAGCUGUUAUUUUAGGUGUUUCUAAAAUCUCCUAUGGGGAAAAAUGUAUGGUGGAAAAAUGAUUGGAACCAUUUCCCGGUUUGACCGCUAGGUUUUAGGGGUAUUAUGACACGUCCACAAUAGGACUCUGGUGUACAUUAGGCAUGUCAAACUCAUUCCAUGGAGGGACAAGCGUCUGCAGGCUUUUGGGUUUUUCCUUUCAAAUCAGCCCUAGACAACCACGUGUGGGGAGUUCCUUACUAAUCAAUGAACUUAACUCAUCAAGUACAAGGGAGGUACUUGAUGAGCGAUAUGUUUGCGAUAUUACAUUUCCUUAAAACAACAAUAAAUGUGGAUCUCGGCUUUAAUCUAAUUUUUAACAUUGUCAUAAGGAGCACAUUCAAAACCAUAAAACAUGUUUUCCCAUCUUGACAUUAACAUUGAGAAACAUCACUGAAAAGGGGUUGACGGUACCCCUUGCUACCGGGAGAAUGGAAUCAAGGGAGAGGCAAUUGAAAGCAAGCUUCACAAAACAUUCCAACUUGUUUACCAAUGAGUAACGGGGUUAAAGUGUUCUGCUCGAUGCACUCGGUCUUCUACCCCAAAACACCGUAUGUCUGUACAGUAGGACAGUUGCAUGCAAUGUUACAUUUGUUGACCCUGGAGUUAUGUUAUGUUCUGUAUUGUUCAGUUGUAUGAUAUUUUUUUAAAAGCGGUCGACUCUGA